AGUACUACAAACCACAGUUUAUCAUAUUAUAGUUGAUUCUCUAGCAAAGUUUCACAUUUUGAACUCGUUUAUUUUGAUUUGAAAUGUCUAAAACUUUUACUAAUGUUUGAUGGUAAAAUUUGGUGUUUGGUUCUUUAUGCAACUUUUUAUUGUUUGCUAUGAUAACUUUUACUGAGUACUGCAAUCAUCCAUAUCUAUUCCAAGGUGUAGAACCUGGGCCACCUUAUACAACUGGAGAAAAUCUUAUUACAAAUGCAGGAAAAAUGGUCCUGUUAGAUAAGCUGUUGCCUAAACUGAAGGAACGAGAUUCCAGAUUUCUAAUAUUUUCACAGAUGACUAGACUUCUGGACAUACUGGAAGAUUACUUGCUAUAUC